GACGAACGCUGGCGGCGUGCCUAACACAUGCAAGUCGAACGGGGUUUGAAAGCUUGCUUUUGAAUCUAGUGGCGCACGGGUGAGUAACGCGUGAGCAACCUACCUGUCAGUAGGGAAUAACAUUUGGAAACAAGUGCUAAUACCUCAUAUUGUACAUUGUUCACAUGAACUAUGUAUGAAAGAAGUAAUUCGCUGAUAGAUGGGCUCGCGUCCGAUUAGCCUGUUGGCGGGGUAAUGGCCCACCAAAGCUACGAUCGGUAGCCGGACUGAGAGGUCGUACGGCCACAUUGGGACUGAGACACGGCCCAGACUCCUACGGGAGGCAGCAGUGGGGGAUAUUGCACAAUGGAGGAAACUCUGAUGCAGCAACGCCGCGUGAAGGAUUAAGGUCUUCGGAUUGUAAACUUCUGUUCUUGGUGAAGAAUUUAAUGACGGUAGCCAAGCAGCAAGCUCCGGCUAACUACGUGCCAGCAGCCGCGGUAAUACGUAGGGAGCUAGCGUUGUCCGGAUUUACUGGGUGUAAAGGGUGCGUAGGCGGCUUGGCAAGUCAGACGUGAAAUUUACAGGCUUAACCUGUAAACUGCGUUUGAAACUGCUUGGCUUGAGUGGAGUAGAGGCAGAUGGAAUUUCCAGUGUAGCGGUGAAAUGCGUAGAUAUUGGAAGGAACACCGGUGGCGAAGGCGGUCUGCUGGGCUUUAACUGACGCUGAGGCACGAAAGCAUGGGUAGCAAACAGGAUUAGAUACCCUGGUAGUCCAUGCCGUAAACGAUGAUUACUAGGUGUGGGGGGUCUGACCCCUUCCGUGCCGGAGUUAACACAAUAAGUAAUCCACCUGGGGAGUACGGCCGCAAGGUUGAAACUCAAAGGAAUUGACGGGGGCUCGCACAAGCAGUGGAGUAUGUGGUUUAAUUCGACGAUACGCGAAAAACCUUACCAGGUCUUGACAUCCGACUAACGAGGUAGAAAUACAUUAGGUGCCUUUCGGGGAAAGUCGUGACAGGUGGUGCAUGGUUGUCGUCAGCUCGUGUCGUGAGAUGUUGGGUUAAGUCCCGCAACGAGCGCAACCCUUGCGGUUAGUUGCUACGUAAGAGCACUCUAAUCGGACUGCCGUUGACAAAACGGAGGAAGGUGGGGAUGACGUCAAAUCAUCAUGCCCUUUAUGACCUGGGCUACACACGUACUACAAUGGCUGUUAACAGAGGGAUGCAAUAGAGCGAUCUCAAGCCAACCCCCAAAAACAGCCUCAGUUCAGAUUGCAGGCUGAAACUCGCCUGUAUGAAGAUGGAAUUGCUAGUAAUCGCGAAUCAGCAUGUCGCGGUGAAUACGUUCCCGGGCC
rnacentral:rRNA from 2 species